rnacentral:rRNA from 1 species
GACGAACGCUGGCGGCGUGCUUAACACAUGCAAGUCGAACGGAAAGGCUCCAGCUUGCUGGAGUACUCGAGUGGCGAACGGGUGAGUAACACGUGGGUGAUCUGCCCUGCACUUCGGGAUAAGCCUGGGAAACUGGGUCUAAUACCGGAUAGGACCGCACUUUGGUGUGUGUGGUGGAAAGGUUUUUCUGGUGUGGGAUGAGCUCGCGGCCUAUCAGUUUGUUGGUGGGGUAAUGGCCUACCAAGACGGCGACGGGUAGCCGGCCUGAGAGGGUUGACGGUCACAUUGGGACUGAGAUACGGCCCAGACUCCUACGGGAGGCAGCAGUGGGGAAUAUUGCACAAUGGGGGAAACCCUGAUGCAGCGACGCCGCGUGGGGGAUGAAGGCCUUCGGGUUGUAAACUCCUUUCGCUAGGGACGAAGCUUUUUGUGACGGUACCUGGAGAAGAAGCACCGGCUAACUACGUG